rnacentral:rRNA from 1 species
AGAGAGAGACAUGCGCGCAUAUCAAUAAGCGGAGGAAAAGAAACUAACAAGGAUUCCCCUAGUAACGGCGAGUGAAGCGGGAAGAGCUCAAAUUUGAAAUCUUAAAGGGUUUCCCUUUACGAAUUGUAGUUUAAAGAAGUGUUUUCUGUUGAGGUUUUGGUAAAAGUUCUUUGGAAUAGGACAUCAUAGAGGGUGAGAAUCCCGUAUUUGACCUUUACUUUCAACUUUGUGAUACACUUUCAAAGAGUCGGAUUGUUUGGGAAUGCAGUCCAAAAUGGGUGGUAAAUUUCAUCUAAAGCUAAAUAUUGGCGAGAGACCGAUAGCGAACAAGUACCGUGAGGGAAAGAUGAAAAGAACUUUGAAAAGAGAGUUAAACAGUACGUGAAAUUGUCAAAAGGGAAGCGUUUGACACCAGUGUUGUUUUUCUGAGAAUCAAUUAAAGAACUGUUUAUGCUAAGCUGUUUAGACUUUAUCAGCUAACUGUUUAGUUUUGAGCUUUUCUUUAAUGCACUUUUCAGUUAACAAGUCAACAUCAAUUUCUUUUGCUGUAAAAAAGCUUGAGGAAGGUGGCUUGAGAUUCGUCUUAAGUGUUUAUAGCCUCUUGCCUAUGCAGUCGGAGAGAUUGAGGUCUGCAGCGUAGAUCCUUCGGGGCUAAAUGCAUUUGUGCUAAGUUAUAACAUUUUAUAGACAACUUGUUGACUAUGAUUUGUCUUGUAGCUUACUCGCUUAUGUUAUUUUACCUACGCUUAGGAUGUUGACGCAUGAGAUAUACGC